GAUGAACGCUGGCGGCGUGCUUAACACAUGCAAGUCGAACGAUGAACCUCACUUGUGGGGGGAUUAGUGGCGAACGGGUGAGUAACACGUGAGUAACCUGCCCUUAACUCUGGGAUAAGCCUGGGAAACUGGGUCUAAUACCGGAUAUGACUCCUCAUCGCAUGGUGGGGGGUGGAAAGCUUUAUUGUGGUUUUGGAUGGACUCGCGGCCUAUCAGCUCGUUGGUGAGGUAAUGGCUCACCAAGGCGACGACGGGUAGCCGGCCUGAGAGGGUGACCGGCCACACUGGGACUGAGACACGGCCCAGACUCCUACGGGAGGCAGCAGUGGGGAACAUUGCACAAUGGGCGAAAGCCUGAUGCAGCGACGCCGCGUGAGGGAUGACGGCCUUCGGGUUGUAAAC
rnacentral:rRNA from 1 species